rnacentral:rRNA from 1 species
CCUACGGGUGGCAGCAGUGGGGAAUAUUGCACAAUGGGGGAAACCCUGAUGCAGCGACGCCGCGUGAAGGAAGAAGUAUUUCGGUAUGUAAACUUCUAUCAGCAGGGAAGAACAUGACGGUACCUGACUAAGAAGCUCCGGCUAACUACGUGCCAGCAGCCGCGGUAAGACGUCGGGGGCAAGCGUUAUCCGGAUUGACUGGGUGGAAAGGGAGCGUAGGCGGUGAUGCAAGUCAGAAGUGAAGGCCCGCAGCUCAACUGCGGGACUGCUUUUGAAACUGUAUGACUAGAUUGCAGGAGAGGUAAGUGGAAUUCCGAGUGUAGCGGUGAAAUGCGUAGAUAUUAGGAGGAACACCAGUGGCGAAGGCGGCUUACUGGACUGUAAAUGACGCUGAGGCUCGAAAGCGUGGGGAGCAAACAGGAUUAGAUACCCUGGUAGUC